GACGAACGCUGGCGGCGUGCUUAACACAUGCAAGUCGAGCGGUAAGGCCCUUUCGGGGGUACACGAGCGGCGAACGGGUGAGUAACACGUGGGUGACCUGCCCUCAGCUCUGGGAUAAGCCUGGGAAACUGGGUCUAAUACUGGAUAUGACUCCACGGUGCAUGUCGUGGGGUGGAAAGCCUUGUGCGGCUGAGGAUGGGCCCGCGGCCUAUCAGCUUGUUGGUGGGGNGAUGGCCUACCAAGGCGACGACGGUAGCCGGCCUGAGAGGGCGACCGGCCACACUGGGACUGAGACACGGCCCAGACUCCUACGGGAGGCAGCAGUGGGGAAUCUUGCGCAAUGGGCGAAAGCCUGACGCAGCGACGCCGCGUGA
rnacentral:rRNA from 1 species